ensembl:lncRNA
CUGCUGCUGCUAAGUCGCUUCAGUCAUGUCCGACUCUGUGCUACCCCAUAGACAGCAGCCCACCAGGCUCCACCGUCCCUGGGAUUCUCCAGUUUUGCUCAAGAAAUACUGUGGACCCUCAAUGACCCAGAAGCCUACCACAACUGUGUGGAUCACAAUAACCUGUGGGAAAUUCUGAAAGAGAUGGGAAUACCAGAACACCUGAUCUGCCUCUUAAGAAACCUAUAUGCAGGUCAGGAAGCAACAGUCAGAGCUGGACAUGGAACAACAGACUGGUUCCAAAUAAGAAAAGCAGUAUGUCAAGGCUGUAUAUUGUCACCCUGCUUAUUUAACUUAUAUGCAGAGUACAUCAUGAGAAAUGCUGGGCUGGAAGAAACACAAGCUGGAAUCAGA